rnacentral:rRNA from 1 species
CACGUAGGGCGCAAGCGUUGUCCGGAAUUACUGGGCGUAAAGGGUGCGUAGGUGGUUGUUUAAGUCUGUUGUGAAAGCCCCGGGCUCAACCUGGGAAUGGCAAUGGAUACUGGACAGCUAGAGUGCGGUAGAGGGUAGUGGAAUUCCCGGUGUAGCAGUGAAAUGCGUAGAGAUCGGGAGGAACACCAGUGGCGAAGGCGGCUACCUGGACCAGCACUGACACUGAAGCACGAAAGCGUGGGGAGCAAACAGG